GGUUCAAUGGUCUAGUGGUUAUGAUUUCUGUCUCACACACAGAAGGUCCCCUGUUCGAUCCUGGGUUGAGCCA